UACGAGGGGGGCGAGCGUUGUUCGGAAUUAUUGGGCGUAAAGGGUGCGUAGGCGGUUUGGUAAGUCUUGUGUGAAAUCUACAGGCUCAACUUGUAGUCUGCACGAGAAACUGCCGGGCUUGAGUGUGGGAGAGGUGAGUGGAAUUCCUGGUGUAGCGGUGAAAUGCGCAGAUAUCAGGAGGAACACCGAUGGCGAAGGCAGGUCUCUGGGCCACUACUGACGCUGAGAAGCGAAAGCAUGGGGAGCAAACAGG
rnacentral:rRNA from 1 species